rnacentral:tRNA from 1 species
ACUUAAAUAGCUUAUAUAGAGCACAACAUUGAAGAUGUUGAGGAAAUUUAAAAUUUUUAAGUA